rnacentral:tRNA from 1 species
GGGUGUGUAGCUCAAUGGUAGAGCACCUCGCUUACAACGAGAUUGUUAACGGUUCGAGUCCGUUCUCGCCCA